rnacentral:rRNA from 1 species
CAAUAGCGUAUAUUAAAGUUGUUGCAGUUAAAAAGCUCGUAGUUGGAUUUCUGGUGGGAGCGAUCGGUCUGGCGCUUAGCGCGAGUACUUGCAUCGUCUCCGGCCAUCCUUGGGGAGAGUCUGUCUGGCAUUAGGUUGUCGGGCAGAGGAUCCUCAUCGUUUACUGUGAAAAAAUUAGAGUGUUCAAAGCAGGCUUAUGCCGUUGAAUAUAUUAGCAUGGAAUAAUAAGAUAGGACUUUGGUACUAUUUUGUUGGUUUGCGCACCAAAGUAAUGAUUAAUAGGGACAGUUGGGGGUAUUCGUAUUCCGUUGUCAGAGGUGAAGUUCUUGGAUUUACGGAAGACGAACUACUGCGAAAGCAUUUACCAAGGAUGUUUUCAUUAA